rnacentral:lncRNA from 1 species
AAAAUUAUUCUUAGUUUAUUUCUCUGGGAAAGAGCCAAAAGAAGACAGAAUAAUUGUACUCAUAUACAUCCUUACACUCUUUUAUACAUUCUGGGGGCGGAAAAAUCAGAUCAGCAUGAGUCAAAAUUGGCAAUAAACCCAUUAUAAAGAAGAGAGUGGCACUAAAGUGAAAUUUCAGAGUAUACUGCUUUCUAUAUACCUAACUGUGAUCUUACUUAAAAACAAGUAUUUACAAAGUUUCUAGAAAACUAGAACCAACUUGAUAACUAGGGUUUCAAUCUUUAUUUUGUCUCCAUAAUAUUCAGCUGUCAGCAGUUUCAGCUACACAUUUAAACAUCUAAUGUGAUUUUAUGUCCUACUUACACUACUCGGUAUCAAGUAAAUACUGUUCUAAACAAAUAAUCAAGUAGCACUUGACACUGGCAAACAAUGAACUUUCUUUCCAACCACAGGAGCUUCUAUUGUAGGAGCUGCAGCAUAGAACCUUAUGACAAACAAAGGCUACAUGAAUAAGACUGUGAGAGUAUGGUACUGGAUAAAGAAGGACAAGGGAAUUCAGGCCAAUAAACUUUAAAAGUCAAUGAGUAAAUUAUAUCGGAAAAUCAA